rnacentral:lncRNA from 1 species
UCAAAUUUCGCUCAUCCGUGGCGUUGAAGACGACGAUCGCCACUUCUUGUUAUUUUACUGCUGGCUGACGACUGAUAACUCAAAGACCGUGAUUGCUAGGUAGCCAAACAUAAGGUAGGGUCAGUUAUUUGAGGUUUUUGUUACGUGCUUGCAGUUCCGAGUGAUGCCAGUUGAAAGAUUCCUCUUCCGAUCAUGUAGAUGAUGACUGCAGUCUAUCUGGUUUGCGUGUCUGAACGCAACGAAAUCUCCUGUAUUUCAUUCGAACUUCCUGGACUCGCAAAAAAGUUUUGGACAUUGACUAAAAAACAUUCCACUUGUUCUCAACGAAUCAACCAUCACAACCAUAUCUUAUCAGGAAACGAAAGCUGCAUUUGCCGUUUCGAAGAGAUCGCUACGUGUCGUCAUCGAUGUGACGUCGACUCUCUCACUUGGCAGGCUCCGUGCGAUUCAAGUUUACUGACAUCAUACCCGCUAAGAGUUGAUUUCAUUUUCAGCGACGUUCCAUGGCUCGAUUCAACGAUCUCUGCGGUUGGCUCUGUUAGGUACGAUGGCGUGAAUUAGUCAGUUGACCGACGUUCAAUCGCGCGGAUCAACCAAAACUUUCCGACUGGCUGAACAGCGGUGAGCCUCGACCGUGAAUGGAUUUAUUGCAAUGGCAACAUCAUUAUCGAUACAGGUUAACUUUGUACUAUUUACAAUAAAUAUUCAUUAGGGUUUUUUUUUCAUAUAUUCAUGCGAAAAUCAACGCAAUGAAACAGAAUAUCAAUGAUCAAUAUAUAGUGUAAUUAAUUUUCAAUAAGGUUCAAAUAAUGUAUAAUGACCCCACAGUUAUGGAUCAAUUAGUGUCAAAUCCAACCUAUUCAAUUCAAAAUGAACAAUAAAGAAUACAUAAAAUUUAAAUGGAAAA